rnacentral:rRNA from 1 species
UACGGAGGGUGCGAGCGUUGUCCGGAAUCAUUGGGCGUAAAGGGUGCGUAGGUGGCGCCGUAAGUCGGGUGUGAAAUUUCGGAGCUUAACUCCGAAACUGCAUUCGAUACUGCGGUGCUUGAGGACUGGAGAGGAGACUGGAAUUUAUGGUGUAGCAGUGAAAUACGUAGAGAUCAUAAGGAAGACCAGUGGCGAAGGCAGGUCUCUGGACAGUGACUGACGCUGAGACGCGAAAGCGUGGGGAGCAAACAGG